rnacentral:rRNA from 1 species
GUAACGCGUAGUCAACCUAACCUAUGGACGGGAAUAACCUCGGGAAACUGAGAAUAAUGCCCGAUAGAACAUUAUGCCUGGAAUGGUUUAUGUUCCAAAUGAUUUAUCGCCGUAGGAUGGGACUGCGGCCUAUCAGUUUGUUGGUGAGGUAAUGGCCCACCAAGACUAUUACAGGUACGGGCUCUGAGAGGAGUAGCCCGGAGAUGGGUACUGAGACACGGACCCAGGCCCUAUGGGGCGCAGCAGGCGAGAAAACUUUGCAAUGUGCGAAAGCACGACAAGGUUAAUCCGAGUGGUUUCUGCUAAAGAAACCUUUUGUCAGUCCUAGAAACACUGAUGAAUAAGGGGUGGGCAAGUUCUGGUGU